GGACUGCUGGCCUAGCGGUUAUGGCAUCUGUCUUACAUCUCUUGUUAUUAUCUGAUGCAUCACAGAAGGUCGGCGGUUCGAUCCCGCCGCAGUUCA
rfam:Piloderma croceum F 1598 unplaced genomic scaffold scaffold_00381, whole genome shotgun sequence.